rnacentral:rRNA from 1 species
UACGGAGGGUGCAAGCGUUGCUCGGAAUUAUUGGGCGUAAAGGGUAGGUAGGUGGUCUCAUUUGUCAGGGGUGAAAGCCUUGAGCUUAACUCAAGAAGUGCCCCCUGAAACGGUGAGACUGGAGUCCCAGAGAGGCUUGUGGAAUUCCCGGUGUAGUGGUGGAAUGCGCAGAUAUCAGGAGGAACACCGGUGGCGAAGGCGGGUCUCUGGGCAGUAACUGACGCUGAGGAGCGAAAGCGUGGGGAGCGAACAGG